GCCUCUGUGGUGCAGUGGUAGCACGCGUCCCGGUUAUGGAUGAACUUGCGGGUUCGACUCCCGUCUGAAAUC